rnacentral:rRNA from 1 species
CACGUAGGGUGCGAGCGUUGUCCGGAAUUAUUGGGCGUAAAGGGCGCGUAGGCGGCUUGGCAAAUGGAUGGUGAAAUCCCUCGGCUUAACCGAGGAACUGCCGUCCAAACUGCUUUGCUUGAGGCCGGGAGAGGCGAGUGGAAUUCCCAGUGUAGCGGUGAAAUGCGUAGAUAUUGGGAGGAACACCAGUGGCGAAGGCGGCUCGCUGGACCGGUUCUGACGCUGAUGCGCGAAAGCGUGGGGAGCAAACGGG